rnacentral:rRNA from 1 species
CACGUAGGGCGCAAGCGUUGUCCGGAAUUAUUGGGCGUAAAGAGCUCGUAGGCGGUCUGUUGCGUCCGCUGUGAAAACCCGGGGCUUAACCCCUGGCUUGCAGUGGAUACGGACAGACUAGAGGUAGGUAGGGGAGACUGGAAUUCCCGGUGUAGUGGUGAAAUGCGUAGAUAUCGGGAGGAAUACCAGUGGCGAAGGCGGCUGCCUGGCCUGUUCUUGACGCUGAGGCGCGAAAGCUGGGGGAGCAAACGGG